GAUGAACGCUGGCGGCGUGCCUAAUACAUGCAAGUCGAGCGAACGGACGAGAAGCUUGCUUCUCUGAUGUUAGCGGCGGACGGGUGAGUAACACGUGGAUAACCUACCUAUAAGACUGGGAUAACUUCGGGAAACCGGAGCUAAUACCGGAUAAUAUUUUGAACCGCAUGGUUCAAAAGUGAAAGACGGUCUUGCUGUCACUUAUAGAUGGAUCCGCGCUGCAUUAGCUAGUUGGUAAGGUAACGGCUUACCAAGGCAACGAUGCAUAGCCGACCUGAGAGGGUGAUCGGCCACACUGGAACUGAGACACGGUCCAGACUCCUACGGGAGGCAGCAGUAGGGAAUCUUCCGCAAUGGGCGAAAGCCUGACGGAGCAACGCCGCGCGAGUGAUGAAGGUCUUCGGAUCGUAAAACUCUGUUAUUAGGGAAGAACAUAUGUGUAAGUAACUGUGCACAUCUUGACGGUACCUAAUCAGAAAGCCACGGCUAACUACGUGCCAGCAGCCGCGGUAAUACGUAGGUGGCAAGCGUUAUCCGGAAUUAUUGGGCGUAAAGCGCGCGUAGGCGGUUUUUUAAGUCUGAUGUGAAAGCCCACGGCUCAACCGUGGAGGGUCAUUGGAAACUGGAAAACUUGAGUGCAGAAGAGGAAAGUGGAAUUCCAUGUGUAGCGGUGAAAUGCGCAGAGAUAUGGAGGAACACCAGUGGCGAAGGCGACUUUCUGGUCUGUAACUGACGCUGAUGUGCGAAAGCGUGGGGAUCAAACAGGAUUAGAUGCCCUGGUAGUCCACGCCGUAAACGAUGAGUGCUAAGUGUUAGGGGGUUUCCGCCCCUUAGCGCUGCAGCUAACGCAUUAAGCACUCCGCCUGGGGAGUACGACCGCAAGGUUGAAACUCAAAGGAAUUGACGGGGACCCGCACAAGCGGUGGAGCAUGUGGUUUAAUUCGAAGCAACGCGAAGAACCUUACCAAAUCUUGACAUCCUUUGACAACUCUAGAGAUAGAGCUUUCCCCUUCGGGGGACAAAGUGACAGGUGGUGCAUGGUUGUCGUCAGCUCGUGUCGUGAGAUGUUGGGUUAAGUCCCGCAACGAGCGCAACCCUUAAGCUUAGUUGCCAUCAUUAAGUUGGGCACUCUAAGUUGACUGCCGGUGACAAACCGGAGGAAGGUGGGGAUGACGUCAAAUCAUCAUGCCCCUUAUGAUUUGGGCUACACACGUGCUACAAUGGACAAUACAAAGGGCAGCGAAACCGCGAGGUCAAGCAAAUCCCAUAAAGUUGUUCUCAGUUCGGAUUGUAGUCUGCAACUCGACUACAUGAAGCUGGAAUCGCUAGUAAUCGUAGAUCAGCAUGCUACGGUGAAUACGUUCCCGGGUCU
rnacentral:rRNA from 1 species